rnacentral:lncRNA from 1 species
UUAUGUAAAACAAAAUCAUGUCGGUGAUUAUCAGUUACCUCCCGAAUUAUCUUCCCAAAUGAAGGAUCCGCAGCAUACAUAUCAGGAAAUGCCUUAAAUCCGACAAUCUUGGUGCUCAUGGUGGUGAGGAGUAAUGUGCGACGGCUCAAUGCAUCUGCUACUCGAUUCAAACUCCCUGUUUGAUGCCUGAGUGUGAAAGUAAACUCCUGCAAGUACGCC